rnacentral:rRNA from 1 species
GACGAACGCUGGCGGCGUGCUUAACACAUGCAAGUCGAACGAUGAAGCCUAGCUUGCUGGGUGGAUUAGUGGCGAACGGGUGAGUAAUACGUGAGUGACCUACCUUUGACUCUGGGAUAAGUCUGGUAAACUGGGUCUAAUACCGGAUACGACCAAUUUCCGCCCGGGGUGUUGGUGGAAAGCGUUAUGGCGUGGUUUUAGAUGGGCUCACGGCCUAUCAGCUUGUUGGUGAGGUAAUGGCUUACCAAGGCGACGACGGGUAGCCAGCCUGAGAGGGAGACCGGCCACACAGGGACGGAGACACAGCCCAGACUGAUACGGGAGGCAGCAGGGGGGAAGAUUGCACAAUGGGCGCAAGCCUGAUGCAGCGACGCCGCGUGAGUGAGUACGGCCUUCGGGCUGUAAACCUCUGUUAGCAUCGAAGAAGCGAAAGUGACGGUAGGUGCAGAGAAAGCGCCGGCAAACUACGU